CACGUAGGGGGCGAGCGUUGUCCGGAUUUAUUGGGCGUAAAGCGCGUGUAGGCGGCCCUGCAAGUCGGGUGUGAAAUCCCACGGCUCAACCGUGGAAGUGCACUCGAAACUGCAGGGCUAGAGUCCUGGAGAGGAAGGUGGAAUGCUUGGUGUAGAGGUGAAAUUCGUAGAUAUUCGCAAGAACACCAGUGGCGAAGGCGGCUCACUGGCCCGAUACUGACGCUGAGGCACGAAAGCGUGGGGAGCAAACAGG
rnacentral:rRNA from 1 species